GUGGGUGGGUGGGUGUAAAUUCAUAAUAACAACAGAGAUUUUGUGAUAGCGUUUUGAAUCUCACACCUCUACACAACAGUUUACCCUUGUCUGACAGGUGUGACAGAAUUUCAAAUCUUCAAAAAUCUUGUUUUUCACUUCACGUUUGGUAAGCAAGCAUUCAGGGCUCGGCCCAUCUUGUGACCAAAUCCGUACUCUGCAACCGUGUCCGCGAGGGCCGGGAUGUCUGGACAUCAACCUCAGCUUUCUGAGCUCAAGCUACGUAGUCAUGGUUCAAUGCAUAUGGAAGAAGCGAAACGCUCCUGUGGGAAUGUGAUCAGUAAGGCAGUACCAUCAAUCAAACUAAACAAGAAAGACAGUGCAGCAGCCACAGGUCUAAUUCAGGAUGCAGGCAAGGGGACACUUAAUAUAAUCAGGUUUUGGAAAAAGCAAAAAUGUUUUACCCUUUCUUUCUUUCUUUCUUUCUUUCUUUCUUUCUUUCUUUCUUUCUUUCUUUCUUUCUUUCUUUCUUUCUUUCUUUCUUUCUUUCUGUUUUUUUUCUUACAAGUUCCUAUAAUUAAGACCCACCCAAACUACUUUCUUUGCCGAGCCAGUUCAGUAAAAUAUAAUGUUACGCUGAUUUAAGUGAUACAGUCUACAAUUUGGCUCCCUUCUUAUUUUAUGUUUUUUUCCAGACAAGUUUUCAGCAUUUCGGUUUGAAACACUAACAAUUACCAAGCAAAACAGAGCCAAUCCAACAGUUUCAACUCAAAGUCAUUUUCAGCAAAAUCAAACAUAAAUGUCAGUCAAAGCGGCCGCGCUCCUAACUCCAGAUGGAUGAGUUAAAAAAAAACUCUCAGAGUUGAAACACUCCAUAGAAGCCAGACUGUAAACAUGCUGUAAAGUUGGACAUUUUAAGCAUAUGGGGAAUAGCUCUCUCUUGAAGCCAGCCUAUUGUGACAGCUAGAGGAACUGCAGUUUGUGGCACAUCUGCACUGGCUUCAAUAUUCACCUCCAGAGGUCACGCCUCGAUCAGUUCACUCUGAAACACCCAACUUUAGAGCAGAAAUGACCAUUUUUAGAACCAGGUUUUAAUCUCUGUGGCAUGUUGUCCUCCUGUGAACAUGCUAAAAGUCUUGAGUCUGCCUUCACUUUUUAGUAUUUUGCAAGUAACCUAAGAAAUAGGUGCAAAAGUUUACCGUAACAAGUGCAAACAUACAUGGAAAAAGAGUAUUUAAGGGGAAAACAGAGUUUGUACAGUUCAAACCUUUUUUUUUCAAUGUCAGUCUUCAGAAAUGACUUCCUGUGA
ensembl:lncRNA